AAGCUUCUGCUACCGAGUCCCCGAAGCAAGGCCUCUCGGUGACGGCUAGAGGCGGAGGAGACGACGGGGAAAAAGAAUUCGGGACUCAAAUCAACCGGACCGGGUUUGGAAAAGAGAAGUCAAAUCAAGUAGCCGGAGAAGAACUCAAAAGGCAAAAUUAAGAGGUGGGAAGGGAAAGAGUUUCUUGCGAUCCUCCGGUGCCCAACUUCCUUAGAAGCCAGGUGAGCAACGAGCCUCGCGCCGCCCCUGCCGCCUCCACCCGCCCCAACUCACUCCGGGCCUAGGCAGCCGCCCGAGACCUCACUUACCCUCGGCGCCUGGCGGGUGCUUUGGCCUCGGGCCGCCUCCGCCUCUCCGGCUCCCAACGGCCCGCGGGCGGGCGCGGGAGCCCCGCGCGAGAGACCAGUGCCGACCGGUGCCACCGAGAGGGGCGAGGGGCUCUGCUGCCGUCACAGUCCGCGGCUCCGCUUCGGUAAAUAGGAAGCUCGGGCGACAGGGGGGGUGGGGGGUGAGCGGCGGCCCCGCAACUUCCCUCCCCACCUCAGGCGCGCCGGCCGGACAGGGCCUAGGCCUCCCUGGCGGCCGCCGCCGGUGCCGAGCCCGCUACGUGCCCCCGCUGGGCCGCCGCCGCCUUCUGCGCCGCCGCCUCCGCCGGUGAAUGGUCAGCGCUGGAGUUUGAACAGGGCCCUGAACCAUCUCAACGCCAUUUGCGCUCCCGGCCCCCCACCUCCUUCCUCCAACAGCCGCUCGCUCCGUCACUCCGCUUCCCACAGGCCCCGCGCGGCCGCCCGACUCCGCAGCCAAUCGUACGGCCUCUUACUCAAACCGCCGCGCAGGCGCCGCGCCCCGCACGCGCCGGCUACCACCAUUGGUCGGACCGCGUGGCCCGACGGGAGUUGUAGUUCUCUCUUCCGCAAGGUCCUGGUGUCUAAAGCCCGGUUCCGGAGCUGGCGAACGGUAUAGGUUCUGGCUAAGGGCCUGCUGGACUUCACCGACUCCGGAGCCAGUCCCAGUUCCUAGCCACGCGACGAGACGCAGGUGCAGCGCGGGAAGGCUCGCGGCACAGUGCAGGCAGCUGUGUCAAUCGUUUCCCCUCCAGGGACCCUCCGGUGUCUAGGGACAGAGACUUGUGCAGCUGCGCCGAGCCUGCUGGGCCACCGCCCGGACCUUGGAGGCGGGGAACUUGGGGCCGCCUUUGACCUGGUCUGACGGUGCGAGAGAGCCAACGCAGGUAAACGAGCAGCGAAACCUGGAGCAGUCGGGUGCUGGUCUCCUCGCAGCCGGGAUCCGCUUCAGCCGGCCACUUCAUCCUCUCUCUCCUUUCUUGUUCAGUCCCCACUACGGAGUUCUGUCCCCUACCUGUUAGCAAUGACACCCCACACCCCCACCCCACCCCCGCUCCCCGAGUAUUUUAUGUUACUAAGGAAUUAUCGUCAUCCUUAUCGAACGUGCUUACGGUAAUGUGGCUUUAAAUUUAAAACACACACACACACACACACACACACUAAAGUGUUGAUAGGUAAAAUGAUCCAAUACGUUUAUUUUGUUUUAGACUAAGCCUCUGGAAACUGGGAAAGAAGGGAAUAAAUUAACUGAGGAUGUCCUUCGAUGUUGGAGCUGUGGGAUAUGUACACAUAUGCUAUCAUACCAGUAUUUAUGUCUCAAAUUGUUCAUAAUAAAGUUUUGGUUUGGGGGGGA
rnacentral:lncRNA from 1 species